AAAUGAAUUCAUAAGUUUUGCAACGGGUUGGCAUCAGCUCCAGGCAGCAUUUGAUAUUUGGAGUAAAGCAGCAUGAGCAGCUGCCUUGGCCCAGAGCAGAAGCUGGGACAGAAGCUCAGGACAGGACAACAGGUUCUCCUAGUUCAACAGCCAGACAUCUUUGACCGUGUCUGUAGAGCUGAGAGUAAACAUCUUAAGUUUAUAUUAAAGUCUGAUUUUCCCAUCUGAGAGACAUUCUCCUGCUUAUGGAAAAUCUUAACAAUGAGGAAGAGACUGUGGUGGACCGCCUGAACUCCUCUGAGUAAAGAAUGUAGGUUCCAGGACCCCCAAGGGACACUUGCCAGAUGUGCUCAGCACCGUCCCCAGUGCUCUUUCUCACUCUCGUCCAGCUCUGUGGCAUCUCUGCAUCUGCCAAUAGCAGCCAACAAAGGAGAAGGGCCUGCCUUGGCUGCCGUGUACCCCUCCAGACAGCAUGCAGAGACAGCGGAGAGUAUAAUAAACAGCGGAGCACGAAGUUCUUGCUCACAGUCAAGAAGGCAAGAGCUAAACAGGGAUGGAGUGGCCUCGCUUUCUCUUUGUUAAUAUUAACGAGGGUACCUUUUACAGUUAAAAACCAUAAAGAAAGCUCGUUAAGGGCAACAACAUCCCCUAGCCCACAACUCUCUCUAGAACCACAAAAUGGGUAUGUUACAGAGGCCUGGGAGCUAAUUCUCUCCAGAUGUUUGCAAAGCGAGCAAGACCAAAAGGUGGAAACUGAAAUGACUAAACACUUAAUAAGGAGCUGAUGGAACCAAGGCCCCAGGGUUGGCUCAGCAAUAAGUGAAACACAGAGACCCUGUUUGUUCAGAGGAACUUCAAAGCCCCCUAUAAACUCCUAGGAAAGGUGAGAGGCAAAAACGCUACAGAGAAUCCAGCAUUCCUGCAAAGUCAAACUGGGGACUAACUUGAGAUGCUUUUCCUGGUGCUUAAGAAGAAGACCGAGGGGCAGGUCUGGAAGAAGUCAGUAUGGAUCAUAAAUCUUAUGGCUGCACAUCCAAGUUUUCAGUCCGUUUUUCUACCCAUCGGUGUUGCUGCCUAGAAGGAGCCUCAGGCAGAAAUUCCUUCUCACCUGUGUGCCUGGGCUUGGGUUGAGAGCAAUGGUAAUGGCUGCCUUUUUAUUCUUGCUUGGGAAACCUGAGCCUGCUUGGAGCAGAGUGAUUGAAGUAAGACAAGGAGACAAACUUUUCCUGUGAGACUCAUGAUCAUUCCAGGAAAUAAAUAUUAGUGGUUCUGUCUCUAAAACAAGCAAACAGAGGCAAAGAGGGGUUGAGUCCCCUUCUCAAAGUCACACAUUCAUGUCAUUUCUUGCAGAGCAGAGGUUUUAGUCUACAUGCUUCAAUCUCCCCCUACCUCCUUCUCUUUUCUUGUGUUCUACAAAGAAGAGAAUCAGGAGCUGGGGGGAAAGAAGGCCAAGUAGGUGGGACCCAGGGCUCCUGGCUCUACAUUAAUCAGAACAUUCUCCUCUCUUUCACACAUGACGGUUCACAUAAAAUCUCCGACAAAAGACCUUGUGCCACUGAGAGACAUUGAAGACCAUUAUAAUAGACAAGCUAUUUUUCCUUUCAUUGGCAACUUGGUAUGAAGGUGACGUGAAAAAUCUGAACGUUAUCAGAAGACCUGGUUCUUAUAUAUUAGCCAUUUUCCACAUAAAUAAUGCCUGCGUCACUAAUUCAACACUAACGUAAACUGGAACAUCUGGCUCAAAGAGACUACCGAAUUUUGUGCAUGGGAGAAGCUAUUACAAAUUUGCUAAUACCAUCAAAACUUGUAAAGUGAUAAAAUGAGACUACAUGAAGAAAAGGCAGUCAUCCCAAGCAUGAGGCAUGCUAAUAGCUGUGAAUAUAUAUGAGAGCAGAGAAUUACGCUGAAAAUCAGUGAAGAGAUCCGGCUGUUUUACGGGCGUGCGUCAUGGUGACCAGAGGACUCUCCUGGUUCUUGCCCUGUUGGAGUGAUCUCCAAAGUGGAGACACACACGAUGAUUAGAACUUCUUUUUGCAUUUGUUUUUAUUUCUUCUAUUAAAAAGAAGACUCUUUUUGUGUGAUUUUUAUAAUGUCCUUAAUAUAUUAGUAGAGAAGUACACAAAUGUAAUUUAAAAUAAGUAUAUACCUAUCUUCACUACCCAAACUCUUGCUUUCUGAACACAAGAGUCAAAUCAAUUCAGCUAAAUUUUAGGGUGAAUUUUUUGCUAUCCAAACUCGGACUACUUGCUCUUGGGAACUCGGGGGCCAAAUAGGUUUGGAUAAGUUUGUAUUCCUCGCCAUUCAAAUACUUUAUCCUAACUAAGGAACCAAUAUUUGGAUAAUGAAGGACAGUUGUGUGUAAUCAUGCAGGCGCCAGGUUUUGUUUUUUAACUGAGAUUCACUAUGAAAAGAAUUCAGGAGAUCCCAUUGCUGAUGACCAUGUUGCUACGUCUGACUUUAAGUCACAGGCCGACAGGGCUCGCAAAACCGAGGUCAUCUCUGAUAAUCCCAGACCAAAUAAAACGCUCCUUUCAUGCCCCUGUGUAGAGUGAAGCUGUAUCUUUCUCAAGGAUUAGGUUCUGAUAUCAGUGUGUAAGGUGAAAGUUUCACGUAGUCAAAAUUGUCCUUGAGAAUCCCUUAGGAAAAUACCGUUUCAGAGGUUGGUGUACUGUCUAUCAGUAAGUCCGAUGUGGUCAGGUUUUGCUUUAGUUUGGAGGCAGGGGGGAAAUCACUAUUUCUUAAUUGAACCCCAGUGAAAUACUGAGUUGUACUUUGUGGCCAUGUGGUACCAGAAAUUCCUAUCUCUAAACAUUAGAAUCAAACUCAGUGCAGCUACAAAUUCUGUGAGAGGCUGUGGAGAAGACAGGUCUUUGAGAAUGAGCCAACUCUAGGCCCCCUCUCACACUCCCCCUGGGCUAGACGUGUUGAGUACAAUGAGUGCAAUCCCCCCCACUGCUGCAAUGGAAGUCAACCGAAUGUGGUGAUGGUUGCCUAACUCUGAAUAUACUAAAAACCAUUGAAUUGUACACUUUAAAUGGGUGAAUUGCACAUAUGUAAAUUAUAUCUCAAUAAAGCUG